GUAGGUGGCAAGCGUUGUCCGGAAUUAUUGGGCGUAAAGCGCGCGCAGGUGGUUCUUUAAGUCUGAUGUGAAAGCCCCCGGCUCAACCGGGGAGGGUCAUUGGAAACUGGGGAACUUGAGUGCAGGAGAGGAAAGUGGAAUUCCACGUGUAGCGGUGAAAUGCGUAGAUAUGUGGAGGAACACCAGUGGCGAAGGCGACUUUCUGGCCUGUAACUGACACUGAGGCGCGAAAGCGUGGGGAGCAAACAGGGAUUAGAUACCCUGGUAGUCCACGCCGUAAGCGAUGAGUGCUAAGUGUUGGGGGGGUUUCCGCCCCCUCAGUGCUGCAGCUAACGCAUUAAGCACUCCGCCUGGGAGUACGGUCGCAAGACUG
rnacentral:rRNA from 1 species